rnacentral:rRNA from 1 species
AGCAGCCGCCGCGGUAAUACGUAGGGUCCGAGCGUUGUCCGGAAUUAUUGGGCGUAAAGGGCUCGUAGGCGGUUUGUUGCGUCGGGAGUGAAAACCCAGGGCUUAACUCUGGGCUUGCUUUCGAUACGGGCAGACUUGAGGCAUUGAGGGGAGAACGGAAUUCCUGGUGUAGCGGUGAAAUGCGCAGAUAUCAGGAGGAACACCGGUGGCGAAGGCGGUUCUCUGGCAAUGUUCUGACGCUGAGGAGCGAAAGUGUGGGGAGCGAACAGGAUUAGAUACCCCAGUAGUCCCUGUCUCUUAUAA